GGUGCUAUAGUGUAGUGGUUAUCACUCGGGAUUUUGAAUCCAUUGAUAUUCCCGAAACCCAGGUUCGAACCCUGGUAGCACCU
rfam:Leucoagaricus sp. SymC.cos contig9442, whole genome shotgun sequence.